rnacentral:rRNA from 1 species
AUCUCAGGUCAGGCGGGGCUACCCACUAAGUUUAAGCAUAUCAAUAGGCGGAUGAAAAGAAACUAACAAGGAUUCCCUUAGUAAUGGCGAGCGAACCGGGAAAAGCCCACCAUGAGAAUCGCUCUCCCUCGAUGUCCGAUUUGUAGUCUGGAGAAGCGUCCACAGCGGUGGAUCGGGCCCAAGUCCCCAGGAAGGGGGCGCUAGAGAGGGUGAGAGCCCUGUCGUUCAUGGACCCUAUCGCACCACGAGGCAUUGUCAGCGAGUCGGGUUGUUUGGGAAUGCAGCCCCAAUCGGGCGGUAAAUUCUGUCCAAGGCUAAAUACUAGCGAGAGACAAAUAGCGAACAAGUACCGCAAGGGAAAGAUGUAAAGGACUUUGAAAAGAGAGCCAAAUAGUGCUUGAAAUUGUUAGGAGGGAAGCGGAUGGAGGCCGACGAUGUGCCUCGGUCGGAUGUGGAACGGCGAGAGCCGAUACGCCAAUUAACUUGGGGCAUGGAUCGACGCGAAUUGUGAUGGUGGCCCAAGCUUGGGCUGAUGACAUGCUCGUGGAGACGUCAUCAUCGCAUUUGUGGUUGGAAGCGUGCGCCGUUUGAUGUGCUUCGACACCUGUGUGCUUCGGGCGUCGGCCUGUGGACUCUCUAUUCGGUCCGUCUUGAAACAUGGACCAAGGAGUCAGACAUGUGUGCGAGUCAGCGGGCAAGUAAACAUGUAAGGCGCAAUGAAGCUGAUUGGUGGGAUCCCCUUGUGGGUUGCACCACCGACCGACCUUGAUUUUCUGUGAAGGGUUCGAGUGAGAACAUACCUGUUGGGACCCGGAAGAUGGUGAACUAUGCCUCAGCGGGGCGAAGCCAGAGGAAACUCUGGUGGAGGCCCGCAACGAUACUGACGUGCAAAUCGUUCGUCUAAUUUGGGUGUAAGGGCGAAAGACUAAUCGAACCGUCUAGUAGCUGUUUCCCUCCGAAGCUUCCCUUAGGAUAGCUGGAGCCUGGGGGUGAGUUCUAUCAGGUAAAGCUAAUGAUUAGAGGCAUCAGGGGUGAAACUCCCUCGACCUAUUCUCAAAAUUUAAAUAGGUAGGACGGCGUGGUUGCUUUGUUGAGCCACGCCACGAAAUCGAAAUCCGCUAAGGAGUGUGUAACAAAUCACCUGCCGAAUCAACUAGCCUCGAAAAUGGAUGGCGCUAAAGCACGCGAAGAUGAGAAAGGUUCCAUGUGAACGAAACUUGUACAUGGGUUAGUCGAAUCCUAAGGGACGGGGGAAGCGCGUUUGAUAGCGCUCUAAGCACGCACUCCGAAAGGGAGUCGGGUUAAAAUUCCUGAACCGGGAUGUGGCAACUGACGACAACAUUAGGGAGUUCGGAGACGUCGGCGAGGUCCCCCAUAAAGAGUUAUCUUUUCUAUUUAACAGCCUGCCUACCCUAGAAAUGGCUCAGCCAGAGGUAGGCUCCGGUAGCUGGAAGAGCACCGCACGUCGCAUGGUGUCCAGUGCGCCAGUGGCGGCCCUUGAAAAUUCGAAGGACCGGGUGCCUCCCUCGCUCGGUCGUACUCAAAACCGCAUCAGGUAUCGAAGGUGAACAACCUUUGGUCGAUGGAACAAUGUAGGCAAGGGAAGUCAGCAAAAUGGAUCCGUAACCUCGAGAAAGGGUUUGGGUCUAAGGGCAGGGCAUGGGUCCCAAAUCCGAACCCGUUGGCUGUCGGUGGACUGCUCGAGCUGCUCUCAUGGGGAUAGCGAGUCGCCGCGUGCCGGUCGGGGGAUGGAUUGGGAACAAGCCCUUUGGGGCCUCUUCCCCGGGCGUCGAACAGUCGACUCAGAACUCGUACGAACAAGGGGAAUUCGACUGUUUAAUUAAAACAAAGCAUUGCAAUGGUCCCUUCGAAUGUUGAUGCAAUGUGAUUUCUGCCCAAUGCUCUGAAUGUCAAAGUGAAGAAAUUCAACCAAGCACGGGUAAACGGCGGGAGUAACUAUGACUCUCUUAACGUAGCUAAAUGCUUCGUCAUCUAAUUAGUGACGCGCAUGAAUGGAUUAACGAGAUUCCCACUGUCCCUGUCUACUAUCCAGCAAAACCACAGCCAAGGGAACGGGCUUGGCGGAAUCAACGGGGAAAGAAGACCCUCUUGAGCUUGACUCUAGUCCGACUUUGUGAAAUGACUUGAUGUUAGUUAUCAGUGGCAGAAUACACCUAGAAGGUGGGGUUGAAUAGGUGUGGUGGAGCUCACGUUCCGCUUUUUGGGUUUUUCACACUUGCUAAAAAAUGGCCAGUUAAUCUAUUAAGCACUAUUCCUAAUCAAUUAAACAUAGUAAAAAAAAAAUGCAGAAAAUCUUGUUUAACAACUCUUUAGCACGGCAGGUUAGGAGAAAUCAGGCAAUGAUACAACAUAUAUUUUUACAUAAAAUUAAACUAGUUAUAGUAAAAAACCAGUAUACAAAUUAUCAUGUUAUAUCAUGCAAUAUUACAACUUGAAAUGU